rnacentral:rRNA from 1 species
GACGAACGCUGGCGGCGUGCUUAACACAUGCAAGUCGAACGGAAAGGCCCGGCUUUUGUGGGGUGCUCGAGUGGCGAACGGGUGAGUAACACGUGAGUAACCUGCCCUUGACUGUGGGAUAACUUCAGGAAACUGGGGCUAAUACCGGAUAGGAUCUCCUGCUGCAGGGUGGGGGUGGGAAAGUUUCGGCGGUUGGGGAUGGACUCGCGGCUCAUCCGCUUGUUGGUGGGGUAGUGGAUUAGCAAGGCUUUGACGGGUAGCCGGCCUGGGAGGGUGACCGGCCCCGUUGGGCCUGAACUACGGCCCAGCCUCGUCCGGGAGGCAGCAGUGGGGAAUAUUGCACAAUGCGCGGAAGCCUGAUGCAGCAACGCCGCGUGCGGGAUGACGGCCUUCGGGUUGUAAACCGCUUUCGCCUGUGACGAAGCGUGAGUGACGGUAAUGGGUAAAGAAGCUCCGGCUAACUACGUG